AAUAAUAAUAAUAAUAAGGAAAAAACAGCUCUGAUUGCAUUGGCACGAAACUUCCAUGUUCUGGGCAUUCUGAAAUACCAAGAACAAAAGCCAAUCAAUUAUUGAAAAGAUGCUGAGCUGGAGAAAGCAUUUUAACUUUCCUUUACUUGUUGAUUUUGUCAUGUUUAUUAAAUUUUCAAAAAGCCUGAAGCAUUAGCAGGAUCAGAUCCACAUCCACUUCCAGUCCACUAUUCAGGAAUCUCUGCAUUUUCGGACGAUGCUGCCAGGGGUUUUCGCAUCUGGGUAACUCCUCCUUUCUUAUUUAUUUUGUGGGUGUUUUUCAGUUUCUUCAGUAUUGGAGUAUUAAUUUAGAUCUUAAGCAAUGCGGUUGGUUUUUAAGUUUUCUCUCCCUAUAUUUUGCCGCUGGUUUUGCUAAAUUAUCGCUUACUAAUCUAUUUUAGAGUUCAGAUUGGACACCAAGUUUUGUUCUUUGACCUUUCAUUUUGGUUUUUAUUUUCCCCAUUUUUUGACAUUGCUUUCAAAAUUUUUGUAUGUAUUUUUUUCUUUCUCGAAACAACCCACGUGGGCUGCUAUUUGGUCUUUUUACCUAUAACUUGUGUUUAUUAGAGUACUUUUCUUCAAGAAAUUAAAGCUUAGCCGAUAAGGCCCGUUUCUCCAAAGCGGUGGGAAGAGAUGGUUACGUGGGUAGUCCUUCAUUGAGCUGUCUGUUAGGUCUUUGUUUUUGGCUGGGAACUUGCUUUGUUUUUCCCUUUUCUUACUGGGUCUCCUUUUUCCGCUUAACCAUUUGAAUCUCAGUCAUUACAUAUUCUUUUAUAUGUAUUUGAUGAUUUGAAUUUUGGGCUCUUCAUCUGCUGGCUUAUAAAAUAUAUUUCAGUUGAUAUUUGAGCUCUUUUGCUGUUAGGUGUUCCUUGCUAUUGGUUUGAAUAAAGAAUAGUACAAGCUGUUUUUGUUGUUAUCCUGUUGUAUUAGGAGGAAACCUUAACCUCUCGUGCUCUGCCAUUUUUCUUUUCUUUCUUCACAAGGUUUGGUUUUCUAUCAGGGAAGAAAAGUAAUUGCCAAAGUUUUAUAGAUAAUUAAGUUGAUGGGGGGCAAAAAUUCAAGGGAGGGAAGUUGGAGGUCCAAUUCUUCUAUACGUUCAAAUUCGUCGUCAUGGGGAGGUUCAAAUCAUGGUUAUUCUGAAUCCUCGUAUGGUCAAGAAAACUACAGCUACAACCACCCGCCCCAGCAAUUUUAUGGUCAAGAAGGUUAUAGCUACAACUACGCACCUCAUCAAUCAGAUGGGUCACAUCAACAUUGUUCCUCCUCGCAGAACUUUAACCAUGAUAGAAGGCAGCUUGAUAGGAAGUAUUCAAGAAUUGCUGAUGAUUACAAGUCCUUGGACCAGGUGACUGAGGCCCUUGCACGUGCUGGCCUUGAGUCUUCCAAUCUUAUUGUUGGUAUUGAUUUCACAAAGAGCAAUGAGUGGACAGGUGCAAGAUCAUUUAACAGACGAAGCUUGCAUCACAUUGGAGAUGGUUUAAAUCCCUAUGAACAAGCAAUAUCCAUUAUUGGAAAAACUUUAGCUGCAUUUGACGAGGAUAACUUGAUUCCCUGUUUUGGAUUUGGGGAUGCUUCCACACAUGAUCAGGAUGUUUUCUGCUUCUAUCCUGAUGAGAGAUUCUGCAAUGGAUUUGAGGAA
rnacentral:misc_RNA from 1 species